rnacentral:rRNA from 1 species
GACGAACGCUGGCGGCGUGCUUAACACAUGCAAGUCGAACGGAAAGGCCCUGCUUUUGUGGGGUGCUCGAGUGGCGAACGGGUGAGUAACACGUGAGUAACCUGCCCUUGACUUUGGGAUAACUUCAGGAAACUGGGGCUAAUACCGGAUAGGAGCUCCUGCUGCAUGGUGGGGGUUGGAAAGUUUCGGCGGUUGGGGAUGGACUCGCGGCUUAUCAGCUUGUUGGUGGGGUAGUGGCUUACCAAGGCUUUGACGGGUAGCCGGCCUGAGAGGGUGACCGGCCACAUUGGGACUGAGAUACGGCCCAGACUCCUACGGGAGGCAGCAGUGGGGAAUAUUGCACAAUGGGCGGAAGCCUGAUGCAGCAACGCCGCGUGCGGGAUGACGGCCUUCGGGUGGUAAACCGCUUUCGCCUGUGACGAAGCGUGAGUGGCGGUAAUGGGUAAAGAAGCACCGGCUAACUACGUG